GUCUACGGCCUUGCUACCCUGAACAAGCCCGAUCCUGCCUGAUCUCGGAAGCUAAGCAGGUUUGGGCCUGGUUAGUACUUGGAUGGGAGACCAUCUAGGACGACCAGGUGCUGCAGGCA
rnacentral:rRNA from 1 species